rnacentral:sRNA from 1 species
GGUUUCGGGGAAGAGACCGGGUUGAGCGUCUAGCGCAGCUCAGCGUGACUUCCGCCAGCGUUUAGAGCGUUUUCGGGGUCCGAGUUGAAGAGCAAAACCAAGUGAAGGAAACUUCACUAAGUUCAGGUGACAAGGGAAGAAGUACAGAGACUGCACUUUAAAUUCUGGAUGACAGACCUAUCAGGACUGAGUGGACCUUUGAGUGACAAGAUGGGGGUGCUCCAAAGAGAACAUGGCAGCCUGCAGCUAGGACUUUAAUUGAACUAUUGGCAUGGCUCAAUCCAUUGACCUGUUUUGGUUCCUGAUGAAGUUUUGUUAAUUUAAAUGAGAAAAAUAAGGACAGUGAAAAACAGAGCGCUUAAAAAGCACUGUCUGGAUAUCUUCAGAGGGAAAAAGGAGAAAGUUAAUUGAAUUGGUGACACUUCGGGUCUCUCACAGAGGAAGGGCCAAGGAGAUUAAGAUCAAGUUGGGAAUUCUCCUCCAGAAGCCAGACUCAGUUGGUGACCUUGUCAUUCCAUACAAUGAGAAGCCAGAGAAACCAGCCAAGACCCAGAAACCCUCGCUGGACGAGGCCCUGC